CUCCCGAAUCAUCUCCUUCCUUUCUCUUCCACUAGCCUCCACGCCUGUGCCCAUGCUCAUGCCUGAUGCCUGCCAAAUCUCCAUGCCUGAAGUGGAGCUGCUCUAAAAUCUCCUCCAGUUCCCCGUGGCAGUCGGCCUCUCUCCAGCCCCGGAGGCCACCCCUUCCCAGGCCGGCGUCCACCUUCCCUUCCUCUUCCUAUUUCUCUAUCGCUGUGGCUUCCCCAUCUGAUGACGCGGGCUCCUAUUCCCGGCUGAUGUGCUGGUCAAACUGCGAGGUCGUGAGGGGCGUCUUUCCCCCGAGAUGGCGGUGGUAGUGCCUUCCCCGUCGUCCCGGCCGACGACUAUGUCGUCUCGCCUCCAUCGUGGCGGCCUAGCCCCAGCAACAUCGGCUUCUCAGGAUCUCGGCGUCUCUCCUCCACCAGCCUCAUCCCCAUGGAGCCGGUAAUGGCAUGCUUGCACUCCAGGGCGAUGCGGAUAAGGCCCGGCGGCCCUUGGCCAUCUCGCACACAAGCGUCUCGGUGGCCGUCAUGAGUUCGAGGAGAAACAACGGGCACGCGCGCUGAUCCAUCUAGAAUGUCUGCUGCAAGUUGUCGCCCUGGUGGCCAUACGGCGUGACGGUGAGCCACCGCCGAGGCGCAUCUGCCGGUGCCGACCGCAGACAUGCCGCUGCGUCUGGACCUUCCUCCCCUACCGCGGCGCCGGGGGGAGACGAAGUCCUCCAUCCACCAUGACCAAAUCCGCGUGCAGGUUCUUUUUUUCCCUCAAAUUGAUGUGGUGAUAGGUUAUUUGGCUAUGGAAGGAAACACAUGAGAUUUCACUUGGUGUAAUUCCUGGAGAAGCAGUGUCAGUAUCCAAUCUAGGGAUGGAUGCAGGUUUUAGCUCAUUUAGCAACAGAUCUUCUCUCUGUCUCAUUUGGAAAUGAUUAUCAUCAAGAUGGCCACCUCUCACCGCGUGCGUCCGGCAGCAGCCAGUAUUUGUUCAGGCAUGUCACCUCCUGGAGCCCUGGACUCAACAUGGAUCGAUCUGGCAGUAGUCUUUUUCAGAUCAGGCACUACACAUAGAGUCGGUCGAUCCGUGUGAUCGUCCUGCAGUUGGCUUCUCAACGAUUUGCAACCAAACAAACGAUUAAGUCGCCUAGAACCGAUCCACGUCCAUUAUAUUGAUGCAUAAAGCGAGAUGCAUGGCAGCAAACUCAAGAACGCAAUAAGGAGCCAAAGAGAGAAUGUGGUGGCAUCUGAGGGGAGGAUCCCACGACCUAUUUGGUGAUCUCCACAAAAACAUCUAAUGGAUCAAUCAGAUUAGCGGGGAAUGAGCCAGACCUGCUUAUUUAAUUUUCUCAGCAACAGCUAUAGUAAACAUCGUACUGAUAGAUAUACCCUAGCUGUGUCAUUUUUCAAAAAACAAUCAUGUAUGGUGUUUCCC